CCGAUUGAAUGGUUCAGUGAGGCGUUCGGACUGGCCCCAGGAGGUCGGCAACGACCACCCAGGGCCGGAAAGUUCUCCAAACUCGAUCAUUUAGAGGAAGUAAAAGUCGUAACAAGGUCUCCGUUGGUGAACCAGCGGAGGGAUCAUU
rnacentral:rRNA from 1 species